rnacentral:rRNA from 1 species
AUGACGACGACCGCGGCGGGGUCGGAGUCGUCGUCCUCCUCCUCGACCCCGGCGGUGCUUCCGGUGGGGUUCCGGUUCCGUCCGACGGACGAGGAGCUGGUGCGGCACUACCUCAAGGCCAAGAUCGCGGGGCGGGCGCACCCGGACCUGCUGGCGAUCCCGGACGUGGACCUGGCGGCGGUGGAGCCCUGGGACCUCCCCGCCCGCUCCGUCAUCAAGUCGGACGACCCCGAGUGGUUCUUCUUCGCCCGCCGCGACCGCCCCAAGUACCCCGGCAAGUCCUCCCGCUCCUGCCGCUCCACCGCCGCCGGGUACUGGAAGGCCACCGGCAAGGACCGACUCAUCCGCGGACCCGGCCCGGGGGGCUGCAGGGGGAAGGGCGCCCUCAUCGGCGUGAAGAAGACCCUGGUGUUCCACCGCGGCCGCGCCCCACGCGGCGCACGCACCCCGUGGAUCAUGCACGAGUACACCGCCACCGACCCAAACCCCCAAUCCCAGUCCCAAUCCCAGUCCCAAUCCCAAUCCCAAUCUGCAGGCCCCCAAAAUGAUAGCUUUGUUCUGUACCGCCUGUUCAACAAGCAGGACGAAGAGGCCCCGGCGCCCAUUUCAGAACCCCCGUCCACGUCGCCUCCAGCCAAUCCGCUGCUACAGCAAGCCGACGACACGGCCAGCGCCUCCAUGGUGGAAGACAAGGCCUCGCCAUCUGAUUCGACCCAGCUGACUCCGACCAAUGUUACUAAUGAUCACUCCUCCACGGCCCAUGUUCUUGCAGCCACAGCCACCGGCGCCGCAGAGCAGUCAGCGGAUCAGGAUGCUUUUAUGGCUUCGUUGGAGCAGCUUCCAGACAUAGAGCUACAGGCCGAGCAUCAGAGAUACGAUGAAUUCCCUAUGUUCAAUUCCCCGAUGCGUCCUUACACGGAGUUCCCUUUCAUUGGCAACAUGGGUGAUGCGCAGCAUGACUUCUCCAUGUAUCAGGACGGUACCAUAAAUCUGGAUGACAUCCUGCUCACUCCAGCCUAUGACGAAACGGGCGCGUCCAAUCCUACAGGCUCAUGGACUCCUUAUCCUGAAGAUCUGUUGGACUCUAUGCUAGAAUCGGGCAGGAGCGACAUAAUAAAUUCAAUUGGCCAAGAUAUGGGCUCUAUGGGGGCAGCACCCUCGGCGCAGCAGCAGCCCACAGCUCCAGUAGAGUUGAUGGACCUGCAACAAGGGAUUGCGGCAAGGAGGAUCCGGCUUGCGUACGCUGUUGACAGGGCAUCGGCGUCUCAGCCUAUAUUAGCUUGUGACUCGGAAAGCGAAGAAGGUGAGGGCGAAUCAGCAGGCUGUAGCACAGAAAGUUCAUCCAGCAACCAUGAGGAGGAUGAUCAUGUCAAUGAUGCACUUUUCCAAACUAUGGCUGGAGAUCUGAUGCAUAACAUGGCUCCUGCUCAAGCGCUGCUGGUUUCUCCCGUGGAAGUUGCAGACAAGCUCCAGCAUCUAUCAUUCAGUGAUAACAGCAUAUUGGAACAAGAAGAAGAUGGCAAGCCGCGUCGUGGAGCCGGUCUGAAGCAGAGGGUGAAGCAGGACUCGGGUCAAAACGGGCACGACCAGGACGGACUCGUGCGCAACAGUGGCUGCGUGCCUGGCCCUGGAGAUUCAUCUUCAGAAACCGCCGUGCGGAGGUCCCUGUGGGUGGCGCUCCUGGUGAUGGCCCCUCUGCUUGUGCUUGUGUUGGUUGGUGUCUGGAGGUGA